CAGCAUCCAUAAGUCAGAAACCUUCUUCCUCUGUGGGUCCUCCAAGAAGUACACAUUCAUCUGUAGGAGGGGAAAAGAAGUUAUCCGUCACCAUGAGUACGGACGCUGAGAUGCAAAUCUACGGCAAGGCUGCCAUAUACCUCCGUAAGUCUGAGAAGGAGAGGAUGGAGGCACAAGCCGCACCCUUUGAUUCAAAGAACGCCUGCUAUGUGGCAGACAAGGUGGAGCUGUACCUUAAGGGUCUGGUCACUGCCAGGGGCGACGGGAAGUUACUGUAACAGUCACGAAACCUGACGGCACUAAGGAGUAAG